AGUGUGGGUGUGGGUGUGGUGGCAGUGCAGUCCAGAGGUUGGUCUCUCUUGCCCUGCACUCGCUCAGUAGCCUUUUAAUGAACUCAGUGACUCAGCGGGGUCCCCUUCCCCCACCUCCAAUCUCACUCCUCUCAAUUGCACUGAUGCCCAUGUGACAGCAUGUUGUCUCCACCGAGACUAAUCCUGUAUCAAUAAGAGCUUUCAGCACAACCCAGACCAGAUUGCUCUGUCUCACAACCACUUUGCUGACCCGCUCCGGGGGCCACAGAAUACUCCCCAAGCGCAUGCUAUUUACAGAGAAGUAGACAGACGCUGGAUCACUUGGUGUGAUGAUCUUGGUUCCAAAGUUUGUGGCUUUAACAAAGCAACUCAGCUAAUCGACAUUCAACCAGUCAACCAGGCACUGUGCAAGCCAUCAGAAGGAAAAAAUGAGGACUUUUACACAGUAUGACAGUUGGCGCAUGAGAACAUUGGUCUCUAUUCACAGCCUUUCUGAGCAGCGUGACAAGCAAGAGGCAUAAAAGUAUGAAGCCUACACACAAUGCCAAGGAGAUAUCAGCAUGUUCCCAGAGAACAUUACAUAUGUGCCUGGAGAGACUGCCUUUAGCUUUUGUGAGAAGAGUUUAAUCAGCAUUUCAGAUAAGAACAAGAAGCCCGUAUACAAAAUCAUCACAAAGGCUUUUUCCAGUACUAAAUAUGAAGCCUUCCUGACAGAUGAAGCCCUUUGCACAUAACGCUUUCUUAGAAAACUCAAUUUAUCAAUCUUGAAAACAAAGGUUUUUAGUUCCAAAACUGAUGAUAGCUAUUCAAAAUUAAACUUGCACCCCUUAGAGCUUCAUUAAAAAUUUUUAAAGAAAUAUGUACCCAAAUACAAAUUUAAUUUUAGAACUAAAAUAGUUAAUGAUCAUUUUACAUCUCUAUCCAAACACCAGGCGGGCAUGAAGGAGCUACAGAGAACACCACAGAGAAAUGCCAGGACUGGCAAGAAACUGGAAAAAAUCAAGGAAGGGAAGAUGUAGCCCCAAAAUGGUUCUGUCUCACACUUCUAAUUAUUUAUCAGAGGGUAUGGUAAUUCCAAGUUCUUUCUAAUCAUCACAACUUUUCCCCUUUGUCAGAGAGAAGACUUCAAAUUCAGGGCAAAUUAAUAUGGAACACUGAAUUUAAUCUAUCUCAAAGUCUUCUUUUUAUAUACAAUUGAUACAUACAAACAUGCAGUCGUAGAGAUAGUCCCUAAAUACCCAGAAUGAAGAGUGGACUGAUCUAGCAACAACCCUGCACGCACCACACAGCAGGCUGCAGAAGGGAAUUGGGGGCUGAGGCUGGGGCUGGUUUUACAGCUAAAACCAUACAAAAUUCCAUCACCAAAAGUUGCUUCUCACUUUCGGUUAGGAGGUGGGCAAUUCAAAUGCCAGUCUGUUUUCUUCUUUCCUCUCUCCUGCUGCUAUUUUCCUCAAUGGGCUAAGACUUGAUAUAUUUUUAUGUUGGUGAAUAUGGCUUGCAGCUUUUACAGGAAGGGCUUAAAACAAAGUCCAUUGAUGUAUGAAAAGAACAGGACCUAAGAAUCAGAGAAGGUGGGUUUUUUAGCUAGGUUUUAUAUCUAAUAGCUACAGGACUGUGAGCAAGAAUUUAACUUCUGCACUUCAAUUUCCAUGGCUGUAAUCACAGCAUUACCUGCCCUGUCUAUACCGUCGGACAUGUGAAUGUGGCUUUGUAUCACAGAGAAGGUGGACUGAACAGGAUGGAGAAAAAGGGUCCAGGUCUCCAUGUCCCUUAUAGGGUUUCCCUUCCCCUUUUAGGCUAAUUUGAAAUACAAGGGUAGUCUGACUUGCUCUGUGUACUGUAAACAUGUGUACAGUAUAUUAUAAACAUGAAGCUUGGGCAAUCCACUGCAAAAUAAAUAUUACAAAAUGCACAAUGCUAUCAAAGAGCACACUCUUA